ensembl:snRNA U6 U6 spliceosomal RNA
GCUAUAAGUGAGUGAAUGCUAAAAUUGGACUGAAUCAGAGAAAAUUUGCAUGGUCCCUGUGGAAAGAUAGCAUACAAAUUCUUGAAGCCCUCCACAUUUUU